UCGAUUUUUUUUCUGGACUACCAACGGAAAAGUGAAUUGCGUCUCGUUGUAAAUCGGCUGUAAUCAUUACAUUUCUCGUGAAUACAUUUCGAGAAUUGUCAAUCUCUGUGAAAUUUCUGCGGUUUUAUGUGUUGGAGAUGAUUGAUUUGAAAGUGGUAUUGCGAAUGAAGAUGAUUCAAGGAAAUAGAGAAGAAGAUAACAGAGAAAGUUUACGAGAUAGAAGUCGAAGUCAGAUUGUGAACAGAUGGCAAUUUGUAUUAGAAGGAAAAAAUGAGGAAGGGCUGGAUCAAAGUCCUUGCGGUUGGUAUGUGCAAAAUACCAAGCGUAGUUGCACGCACGGCCCGGAAUGUCAGUGCACGGAAUUUCUCGACGAUUUCCCUCAACUGUUCUCGUUUCAGGGGAAACAGAUGUCUGAACGAAAGCGAGCAAGUGGCUAAUUGACUAACGAGCUAUUCGUGGCUCGUACAACAUUAGCCGUCAUAGUCAGAAAAUAUUGAGAGAUUGAGAGAAGAGAAAAAACGAGCAAAGCAACCGACACGGAUAGGAGAAAGACGAAGAAGAAAAAGAAGAUCGUCUGAAGAAAAGAGAAUCGCGAAGAUGGGUGAUCCGUUCGAGUAGUGGACUGCUGGGCCAGUGGUGGUUCUAUUGCUUUUAAUGUAAUCGAGCCGGGCGUCCUUUAUCAUCGCGAGAAAAAAUGGCCAUUUAAUCACGGCGUUUCCCGACGUGGGGUCCGUGCGCACCCCUCCGGCGCGCCGCCUCGAGAAUCAUUCCGAUAUUAAUAGCGGAUGGUUUGACCGCGUAAUAUGAGGAAUCGUUGGCGCGCGCGUAUAAUAUCACUCGGUCGUGCCAAGUGGCUCGAGGAACACGCAUGUUACACGGCCGAGAAUGACAAAUUAAUCGUCUGCUUGGUUGGCCCUGCUCAACGCAUCGAAUCCUAUAGUAUGGUUGAGAAAUGAUAUUCAGUGGAAGGAACAUUUUGUUCGAUUAUGAUCUAUACGAAUCGUCCUAUACGGAAAGAAAUUAAUUUAUAAUUGAGAAUUUUAGGUUAAGUUUGGAAUAUUAAUAGAUAUUUCAUAUAUAUAUUAAAUCCAUGCCGUCAUAGAAUAUUCGACAUGAUUUCUACACAGCAGAAAUACAAAACGUAUCACAUAUCUAACUAGGAAUCUCAUCAACUGAUCACCUGCAAUCACAUUUCCAAAUAGAACAUCACGCUCGGAUGGCGCUGCAGUCAAGGAGGAUUGCGGCUGCGCGAGCCCGUUACAAAGUCGGCAAUUAUCGAGGAGGAGUGGCCCCAGUCGACCUCUUUGAAAACGCGCGUUAUUCGAUGUCCUCUCCUCCGUCACGAUGGAUGCACUCGCGGUAUGCCGUUGAUGUCACGUGGACUGGGCAGCGUCGGGUCUCGUAGGUUAAUUUCACCGCGAUAAGAUCGUAUGAGCGGAUUACGCGGCGGAACACGAUCGAACACCUGUAACGAACAUGAUUUUCUUAUGAACGGUGGAACGGUCCGCGUCCAGUUUUCCCUCUAUUCGAGAGUUACUCGAUACGCCCAAUAUUUUCUCGAUAUCCAUAUGAGCAUUAGUAGAUGGAGAGACGGAGAAGAGGAACUCACCAGGACAUGCGCGCGAUUUUUUCAACACGCGAUGGGGAUUUCAGAUUAUACGAUCGGGGUUAAUGACUGAGGUGUAGCCGGGCGGUCUAGGAAUACCGCUCUGAGUUUUCUUAUCGAUUACAUCUUGAUUAGGAAAAGCAAUGGACCGUAUGAAACUGUUGCACGAGCAUUGGAAAUUCGUAAUAUGCCUUGAUAUGCUUGAGCUGGAAAACGGUUUAAAUCGUGGAAUUUAUGGAAUUGACGGUAUUCCAAUCGACGUUUGCAUGAUUAUAUCUUUAUUGCACAUAUAAUACUAUUGAUUUAUUUUUAUAAUGUAAACUGUCUUCGCGUUCUUAUAUUUCUUAAUAUAUAUAUCUAUUAUAUUAAAAGCAAUACUUAUUUAUUAGCUAUU